GGUUUAAUGGUCUAGUGGUUAUGAUUUCUGUCUCACACUUCGUGGUCACAGAAGGUCUUGAGUUCGAUCCUCAAUUAAACCA
rfam:Cylindrobasidium torrendii FP15055 ss-10 unplaced genomic scaffold CYLTOscaffold_255, whole genome shotgun sequence.